CAGUAGCCGCGGUAAUACGAAGGGGGCUAGCGUUGCUCGGAAUUACUGGGCGUAAAGGGAGCGUAGGCGGAUCGUUAAGUUGGGGGUGAAAGCCCGGGGCUCAACCUCGGAACUGCCUUCAAUACUGGCGAUCUUGAGUAUGAGAGAGGUGUGUGGAACUCCGAGUGUAGAGGUGAAAUUCGUAGAUAUUCGGAAGAACACCAGUGGCGAAGGCGACACACUGGCUCAUUACUGACGCUGAGGCUCGAAAGCGUGGGGAGCAAACAGGAUUAGAUACCCGCGUAGUCCCUGUCUCUUAUAC
rnacentral:rRNA from 1 species